UACGUAGGGGGCGAGCGUUGUCCGGAUUUAUUGGGCGUAAAGAGCUCGUAGGUGGUUUGGUAAGUCGGAUGUGAAAUCUCCAGGCUCAACCUGGAGGGGUCAUUCGAUACUGCCAUGACUAGAGUCCGGAAGAGGAGAGUGGAAUUCCUGGUGUAGCGGUGAAAUGCGCAGAUAUCAGGAAGAACACCCGUGGCGAAGGCGGCUCUCUGGGACGGUACUGACGCUGAGACGCGAAAGCGUGGGGAGCGAACAGG
rnacentral:rRNA from 1 species